GUGCAGAUGAAGAAACUUUCCACUCAUAGUUCCUGCUAUUGAGCCAAGUUUCACCCAGUGGUGAAAUCCUCCAAGGUUUGCUGUGCACGCAUGCAGUGUGCGCCAAAUGCAUGCUGUGCGUGCAUUUGCAGUGCACACCAAACGCACACUUCGUGCGGGAAAGGAAGGCUUAAGAAGAUGUUUGAAAAUCUGACCUAGCAUGGCACGAAAAGGUGGGGCAGACUGUGGGAGCCCUGCAGGAUGAUUGAGGUAGAAGAAUACCUGAGAUGAGAACUUCAAAUGUUCAUCAAGCACAGAACAUGCCUGGGCACCUUCACCAUUUCAUUAAAGCCUUUGGUAUUUUUCCAAAGGGAGAAAUUACAAGAUCAAGCGAAACGGAAAUUUGAACCACUUGGCUGCUGAUCCAAUGACAAAUAAGCAAAGCAUGUGCCAUUAUCUUAUUGUCUCAGGGAUGAAAUGGCACAAGUCUUUCUUUGAGUACGCAUUGGUCAGGUCAGUGUAACAAUCAUGCGGGGGGGAGGAGAUCUCAUAUCUAUGAAGGCGUCAGCUAAUCUUCUAAUUUCCUGGCUUCGCAGAACUUCAGUCAAGUUAAGGACCUCUACGAUGGCAAAGACUACAAGAUUUGGAGAAAUUAAACAGGCCUUGUUUUGCCAGUCAGUUCAUCUCUAUGAACAAAUGUGUUGCUAUUGCGUGCUAUGUGUUAUAAAGCUUUUAAAGACCAAAUACGUCACCUGAAACGGAAUGAAUAUUUUACUUCUGGCUUAUCUGACACGGAAAUACAACAGCAGCAGCAAAAAUGAUAACAAUAUGCAAAGAAAGUAGUGAAUGCAAUCAAGAUGUAAUAUACAAUAUACAAAGAUAAAGCCAGUGCCGUAAACAUAGAAUCAUAGGGCUGGAAGGGACCUUGGAGAUCUUCCAGUCCAAACUUCUAGUCUCUGAAUCUUUCCUGGAAUCAUAAGAUUGGCACUGUUUGGAAAGGUACAUACCAGGGUGUGGGCUGCCGCAGCUUCGCAGCGGUUCGGGAGAACCUCUAGCUAAGACCCUGUCCACUCCUCCCCACCCCUCCCAGGAAUCACCAUGCGGCCCAUUUCAGAUGCAGGAAAAGGAAUAAUCAUGCAGGGUUCAUUAUUUGUAAUGGAAUGAAGAAAUAAAUUGUAGAACCCCUUGGGAAUGUGCUUAAAAGAGCUCGAUGGCUUGUGAAGUGCCUGAAAUAUUGCAGCCACUUGAUUUGUGAGGUAUGCUACCCUAAUUAAAUAAACUUUAAUGCCUUGAUGGAAAUACUUUGUUGUGGGGUGGGGAAACUAUUUGGCCAAGCUGGUGCUUAGUGCUGCUGAUUUGGCUGGUAAUACUAUACAUGAAGUCCCAGUGAGAAAUGCAGCUGGAGAACAAUUGUGAGAACUGCACGUCCUUGCAAGUGUUUUGUCUUGUUUAACGUGGGUGUUCCCUGUCCCCUACUCAGCACCACUCCUACUAUCUUGGUGGCAGCCAAUCAACCUCGGAAUUCUGGAAGUUACAUGGGGGGUGUGCAAGAAGGAAAUUGGAAAGAGAUUGCAAGAGAAGGGCUUCUCUUUGAUCAUAUAUUAAAAGCAGAAAAUCAUUACACACUACAGAUUCUCCAGGCUAUGUUCAUUGCUUUUAAUCUUUUAAAUGUUCACAUCCUGAUCUAUAUAAAUGGCUCUUCUACCCUUUUAACUUAGUUAAUUGGAAAAAGUUGUAUUACAGUAGCAGAGAACAUAACAUGUAUAUAAAAGGUCCUGAUUUAUUAUUCCAAUAUCAUUAGAGAAAGAUGCCGCCUUUUAAAGCUGCUAUAUUUUUUUUUCCUUCCAGCCAAGUGGUCACCAAAUAUAUUUAGGACAGUCAAAAGGAAGGGCUUACUUUAUUUUCUAUUUCUGUAUCCCAACUGUGGAAUUAUUUAUUUGAAAAUGUACUUUCUUGACACCAAUGUUAAUUUUAAUUUUAUUUAGAUCCCAAAAUUAGCAUAUUGCUUGAAACUUUAGGACAAUUUUAAAUUGUGUGGAUUAUAGGUUUUGAUCUGUUAAAGUCUACCAUCAGGAUCUUUGCCUGAACUGCAUUUUUAUUUGACAUGAUGUUUAGUUUGCAAUGCUUCAUUUUGAUGACCUGCCUUGAAAUGAUCAAUAGUUGAAGUAGAAAGUCCAUGAACCGAAAUAAUUAGCAUAUGUGCUUCAAAUGGUUGAAAUGGAGUCUCUGGGUACAGAUCCAACCUUGCUUUUUGGGAUCCAGAGUUGCCAGCAGGAGAGGGGGAGAAUUUAAAAAAUACAAAAUGGAAAUUAUGCCUAUUUGAAUAAAACCCACCUUUUUUUGGAUGUUUGUGAAUGCCCCUUACGUUUACUUAGGAGUUUUAUGGUUGUGACUGCUCCCUUAACCUUGUUGAAAUUCACCCCCACACACACACACCAAGACAGCUGGUCCCAUAGAUCAAGGAGUCACCAACCCCUGGACUGCGGCCCGCUACCGGGCUGUGGCCUAUUUGGAACCAUCUAGCUUUCGUGCAGACAUGCAUGCAACUCAACGUGCAACUGCGCGUGCAUGCAUGCUGACCUUGAGCAUGCUUGCUCAAGUCGAUAUGCGUGUGGACAUGCAUGUUGGCCCAUCGGUUGUGCGGCCCGGUUCCCCUCUCCCCACUCCAAAUUAUAAAAGUUGGGGUCUGCUGCCAUAGAUAACCAGAAUUUGAGCCAAAACAGGCUUUGUGUAUUAUAUCUAGACCGAUGAUGAUGAUGAUGAUGAAUAGGUAAAGGUAAAGGUUCCCCUCGCACAUAUGUGCUAGUCGUUGCCAACUCUAGGGGGCGGUGCUCAUCUCCGUUUCAAAGCUGAAGAGCCAGCGCUGUCCGAAGACGUCUCCGUGGUCAUGUGGCCGGCAUGACUCAACGUCAAAGGUGCACGGAACCCUGUUACCUUCCCACCAAAGUUGGUCCCUAUAUUUUCUACUUGCAUUUUUACGUGCUUUCGAAACUGCUAGGUUGGCAGAAGCUGGGACAAGUAACAGGAGCUCACCCCGUUACAAGGCAGCACUAGGGAUUCGAACCGCUGAGCUGCUCACCUUUCGAUCGACAAGCUCAACGUCCUAGCUCCUGAGCCACCGCGUCCCUGAUGAUGAAUACUCAUAUUCAUUUUUAAAUUAAUGCAGUUAAAUUUAUGAGAUGCCCAGUUCUGAAAUCCAUUCCUGAAUCCCCGAAAAUUCAUGCUUUUUAAUACAAAUCUGAAGCUUUUUUAAAAAAAAUUCAGUUUGCAUUUUAAUUAAUUGUUUGUUUAAUUAAUUGUUAUUCUGAGGAUUGUUAUUUUAAAAGCUGGAGGUGCCUAGGAUGUGUUUUGUAACAACCCUGCUUUGUAGGCAAAAGACUGGGAAUAGUUCACUCUCCAAUCAUUGUCUUGUAAGCACUUCAUGUGUUCAACUAUGGCUUAGAAAUGUUUAUUAUUUCACCUGUGUUUUAUUAAGCUGAACACAAAUGUUAAUGAUUGUCACAAGAACCAGGGAUGCCAAUGAAGCUUUUCCUCUUGCACCCCAAGUUGUGGAAGUCAGGUUUUAUCCCUGGGGCAAAAAUCACCAAGGAGGGCCCAGAGUGAUAGAGCUUGUAACCCUGCUAUUGCACCUCAACUUGAUAGCUGUAGAUCUCCUGAAUCAUAGAGAAGACACAGUGAAAAAUGUCUCUCAGUUUCUUCCUAUCUCUGUAUGAAUGCUUCAUGUUGUGUUUCCGUUGACCGGAGGGUAUGCAGAAUGCAGAACAUCAGUGGUGGGUUGCCUCUGGUUCGGACCAGUUCUAUAGAACCAGUAGUAAAACCGGUAGGAGGCUCCACCCAAAGACCCGAACAUCAUCAAAAGCAAUCUGCGUAUGCGCAGAAGAGCGCAAGGGCACAAUGCGAAUCGGUAGUAAAGUAGAACCCACCCCUGAAGAACAUGUUAGGUGUUUACAUGAAUCAGUAAAGCUCUUAAGUUUCUCAGUUGUGGCAAGGACAAAAAAGGAGGAAAACCUGAGCUCCAUGGAAGAACAGCAUGAUGCAAAAUGUGAGAAAGAAACUCAUAGUUUAAAUUUUGCUGUAAAUUUUUAAAAAGCUUCUACUUGUGUCCCAGCAGUUAAUCUUUUUUUUCAAAACUAAGGAUAUUUAAUCUGAAACUUUUUCCCCCCCAGUAGUUUUUCCUCUUGCUGCAUGAAGGAAAAUACAACGUUCGGUGAAGAGUGAGCUCAGAUAUGUGAACUCUUGACCUUUGCAAGUUGCCUUCGAUCUUUAGCUGGCUUUGAUGGCUGUACCCACAAAAAACUUAUGAUAGAUGAGAGAAAACCAGACCCCCAAAUCUACCAAAGAGUAUUUGGUGAAAGAAAAGUCUCUGCCCAGUUAUUCUCAUAUUUGUUAUUGUUAGUUGCGAAGUCGUGUCCGACCCAUCGCGACCCCAUGGACAACAUUCCUCUAGGCCUUCCUGUCCUCUACCAUCCUCUGGAGUCCAUUUAAACUCAUGCCUGCUGCUUCAGUGACUCUAUCCAGCCACCUCGUUCUCUGUCAUCCCUUUCUUCUUUUGCCCUCAAUCUUUCCCAGCAUUAGGUGCUUCUCUAGGGAGUCCUUCUUUCUCAUUAGGUGGCCAAAGUAUUUGAGUUUCCUCUUCAGGAUCUGACCUUCUAAAGAGCAGUCAGGGUUGAUCUCCUCUAGGACUGACUUGUUUGUUCGCCUUGCAGUCCAAGGGAAUCGCAGGAGUCUUCUCCAGCACCAGAGUUCAAAGGCCUCAAUUCUUUGGCGCUCAGCCUUUCUUUCUUUUUUUUUUAUUCAAAAAGUUUUACAAAAUUUUUUCCUCCCCUUUCCCCCAGCCUCCCUCCCCUCUCCCUUCACAAACUCCCCUCCCCCCUCCCCCCUGACUUCCCGGAACAAACACAAGGUAUAGUUAAAAAUAAAAUAAACAUAUACUAAAAAAAAAAUUUUCCCCCAAAACUAUUAUACCAAUUUUCCCCUCUAACUCUGACUUCCUCCUUACAUAACCAAAAUCCUUCCAAAAAAAAAUAAAAAUUAACAAUUAACAGUAAUAAAAUAUAUAAAUCAAUAAAACAAAUUAAUCCUAAAGUAUUUAAAACCAGCUAAUACAUAAAAAUCCAAUCCAAUUCAGAAAAUAUCUCCCUUAUAGUUUCUAUAACCAUAUAAUUUCCCCCCCAAAUCUUUCUUACGUAAGACCUUUCAAAAAUAUUCUAUUUGCAAUUCAAUACAACACAUUAUAUAAUUUCAAUAUAAGAAAUUACAGUAUCUAUUCAACUUUAGUCCUUCCUCGUCAAAAUCCAAUAUAAAUCCAAAUAUUUAGUCUUUUUUGAUAGAUGUGAAACAUAUAAUCAACCCAUUUCUCCCAGAUCUUUAAUCUUUCAGGAACGCUAAUAUUUUUGUCUGUUAAUAUUUCAAAAAAAACUUCUUUCCAGAAUAAUAGUUUUAUCUCUUGCCAUUUUUUUUUGAUGCAUUAGUCUCUGUCUUUCCUUCAUUACUCCUUUUAAAAAGUCAAUCACAAUAUUUCCUAAUAGUUCCUUAUGUCCAACAAUCCACAAGUUACUGCCAUAUAUUCCAUCAAUCCGGAAAGAAAACUCUUGAAAAGCAUUAAUCCUGUGAAUUUUUCCAGUUCGGGGGGCGCUCAGCCUUUCUUAUGGUCCAACCUUCACAGCCAUAUAUUGCAACUGGGAAAACCAUAGCUUUGACUAUAUGCACUUUGGUUGGCAGGGUGAUGUCUCUGCUUUUUAGUAUGCUGUCUAGAUUUGCCAUAGCUUUCCUCCCCAGGAGCAAGCGUCUUUUAAUUUUUUGGCUACAGUCCCCAUCUGCGGUAAUCUUGGAGCCCAGGAAAAUAAAAUCUGUCACUACCUCCAUUUCUUCCCCAUCUAUCUGCCAGGAAUUGAAAGGGACGGAUGCCAUGAUUUUAGUUUUCUUAAUGUUAAGUUUCAAGCCAACUUUUGCACUCUCCUCCUUCACCCGCAUCAAUAGACUCUUUAGUUCCUCUUCACUUUCUGCCAUUAGAGUGGUAUCAUCUGCAUAUCUGAGGUUGUUGAUAUUUCUUCCGGCAAUCUUAAUUCCAAUUUUUUUUUUCCGGGCAAAAUUUUUUAUUUUCCAUAAUAAUUCCCACAAUUUGACCAGUGUACAAUACAAUCACUUAUCCAACAAUCGAUCCUAUACUCAAAUUAUGCUCAAUCAGGCCUGCUCGACCGCCACUCCCUCCCUUAAUCCUUUCUACCCUUCUCAUCCUUCUUCUACUUUCCCCACCAUCCUUCUCCUCGCUUUCCUACUUCCCCUCCUCUUUCCCACUUCUCACUACCAUCCUUUCUAACCCUCUAUCUUCUCCUCCUUCUCCUCCUAUCCUUUCUUCUCCCUCCCUUCUUUCCUACCUACCUACCUGCCUACCUACUUUCUUCCUUCUUUACUCCUCUUUCCUUACCCUUUCCCUUCGGGAGUGGUUACCGAGCAGUCCCGACUUUACACCAUUCCAACUUGUUUAAUUCUACCAUUAUUCCUGUACAAUGGCAAUCAAUCAAUUUAUAAUCUUCCCCUUCCCCCCCCCAUUUCCCCCCUCCCCCCCCCCGAGACUUCCCAGAACAGAAUACAGGGUAUAGUAACUAACAAACAUAAUCUAAAAUAUAACAUAAAACAUAUUCCAUUUCACACCAUCACACUAUCAAUUCCCUUCUUUCUUAAACUCUAAUACAUAGCAAUUCCUAACUUCACUCAAAAGCUAAUUGAUAUUUUUGAUUGGAAAUUUUUGAUUCUCACAUUAUGAUACCAUAAAAACCAAGCUUUCAGCAAAGGAAAAUAAUUGAUGUGAAUAAAGGUUAACCAAACAAGAGCUUCCAAUGCAUUUAUAAACUCCCGGCUCUCAAAAGUUGCUGAGAUAGGCCUUGUAGAUGCAAACCUCCAUUCCAGAGGUGAAAUCCAACAGGUUCUAACAGGUUCUGGAGAACCAGUAGCGGAAAUUUUGAGUAGUUUGGAGAACUGGCAAAUACUACCUGUGGCUGGCCUCAGAGUGGGGUGGGAAUGGAGAUUUUGCAAUAUCCUUCCCCUGGAGUGGGGUGGGAAUGAAGAUUUUAUAAUAUCUUUCCCCUGCUCCAUUCACACAUGGUAAAAUCUAUUUUGCAAGAAUGGAUCCGCUUGCAAAGUUGAGACUUGGUUGCUUUGAAAUUCUUGAGGACAAGAUUAAUGUCAAGAGCCUUUUCCUCUCUUUCUUGUUGACCUUGUAGGAGAAUCGUGUUUAUCUGCAGUAGCCAAAAAUCAGGAUUGGGGUAAUGCCUUUUCUAGCUAACACAUUUUAUAUAAAAGCGUAAGUUGUUGUGGAUUCCAGCUCACCUCAUGAGAUGCAUGGAGUAACUAAAAACUCCUUGAAUCCAGCAGUCACAAGCUGGAUUGAUGGUAAAAGACAAGGAACAAUUC